rnacentral:tRNA from 1 species
AGGAUUAUAGUUUAAUAAAAACAUUUGAUUUGCAUUCAAAAAAUAUUGUAUAUUAUAAACAAUUUAUCUUA